rnacentral:lncRNA from 1 species
CACAGCUUUCUUCCCUUCAGCAGAGGGAGAAAAGCCAUCCAUCCAGUUUUAGUGGAGGCAAGAAAUUCAGGAGCCAUCAUUCCAAGCUCUUAUUUAAAAAGAAGAAACAAAGAAUCUCUGGACAACAGCCAAGGCAGGCAUCCAGAAGUAGGAAUACUUUUCUUAGAACACAGCCCAGAUGCAAACAUCAGGAGCAGACACUGCCCAGAUGGCUGCUUUACCCCAGCUGAACUCCUGAGAGGCUUUGGUGGUGGCCAGCCCUGUGCACCAAGCUGGAGUAAGCCGUCUCUCCCCAUGGGGGAAGCA